rnacentral:rRNA from 1 species
GUGUCAGCCGCCGCGGUAAAACGUAGGUGGCAAGCGUUAUCCGGAUUUACUGGGCGUAAAGCGUGUGCAGGCGGCAGGGCAAGUGGUGUAUGAAAUCGCCAGGCUCAACCUGGCGGGGUUAGGCCAGACUGCUCAGCUAGAGGGUGAGAGAGGGACGUGGAAUUCCGGGUGUAGUGGUGAAAUGCGUAGAGAUCCGGAGGAACACCAGAGGCGCAAGCGGCGUCCUGGCUCACCCCUGACGCUCAGACACGAAAGCAUGGGGAGCGAACGGGAUUAGAUACCCGCGUAGUCC